UUACGGGAGGCAGCAGUGGGGAAUCUUGGUCAAUGGGCGCAAGCCUGAACCAGCGACGCCGCGUGAGUGAUGAAGGCCUUCGGGUUGUAAAGCUCUGUGGGGAGGGACGAAAGACUGAGGUCUAAUAGGCUUCAGGUUGACGGUACCUCCUUAGCAAGCACCGGCUAACUCUGUGCCAGCAGCCGCGGUAAGACAGAGGGUGCAAACGUUGCUCGGAAUCACUGGGCGUAAAGGGCGUGUAGGCGGAUCGGCAAGUCGGGCGUGAAAUCCCUGGGCUCAACCCAGGAACUGCACUCGAAACUGCCUUUCUUGAGUGCCGGAGAGGAAAGCGGAAUACCUGGUGUAGAGGUGAAAUUCGUAGAUAUCAGGUGGAACACCAGUGGCGAAGGCGGCUUUCUGGACGGUAACUGACGCUGAGACGCGAAAGCGUGGGGAGCAAACAGGAUUAGAUACCCCGGUAGUCC
rnacentral:rRNA from 1 species